rnacentral:lncRNA from 1 species
AAACCCGGUCUCCACUUAAAAAAAAAAAAAAAGAAUGCAUUUCUAGGCUUGGUCAGAUUUCAAGACAUUGAGAUGUGCAUAAAAAUACUCUCUUCUCGGCUCAGUGCACCUUUUCCAAAGGUAGAGUUUUACACAGCAUCAAGACCAAGAUGCCUCCAGGACUCUGGCGUCUUUUCUUCCAUAAUACAGUCUGAGGUACCUUGAGGCAAGGAAUUCCACAGGGAAGCGAAAACUGGAUUUACUUCCUUGUUUCUGGGUUUUCUCUCCACAGUUGCCUAAGAGUGUUAAACUGUUGUAAAUGUCUUCUAGCACUUAUAAAUAAAGCUACUCUUUGGAUUUCCUCCAUCUGACAAGCUCCAGAAUAGAGCUGUGGGCAAGGACACCACUAUUGCUCUCCAGCUAACCCAUGUCCAUACCUUUGACAUUAGACUCAUACCUGUAUUUUUAGUUUUGAGCGAUUUUCUCCACUUGGAGGCAAAGGGGAGAUAUAGCACAAGGAAAAGGAAGUCAGAUUCCAGGCCUGAGUAAGAUUUGACACACCGCUGCUGGCUUCAGAAUACAGAGGCCCAUGUGCAAAGACCAGAAUGAUGUCUCUGGGAGAAAAGACAGGCCCUAGGCUUACAACAAGCAAGGAGAUGGAGACCUCAGUACUACAACAGCAGGGAACAGGAUUCUACCUACCAAUGAAUGAGCUUGGAAAUGGAGUCUUCCCAGAGCUUCCCAAUAAGAGCUCAGCCACACCUUGAUUUCCAAGAAACCCAGAGCAGAGAAACCAGCUGAGCCAACAUAGGCUUCUGACCUACAAAACUGAGGCAUGAUGUCUGAAGGCACAGCACCAAUCUUCUGAUCAUGAACUAUUAAGCAUGAGGAUAAAGGGCUAACAAGGUAGAUGCCUUCACAUCUCUAAUUUUGUCAAGUCCCAUAAAGCUCUAUGCUGAAGCUGAGACAUCAUCACUUAUGACACAGAUUUCAGCCCAAAGCAUGCACUUCAAGGAGGACACAAUAAGAUUAACAAGUUAUAUGCAAUCAUAUGGGGUACAGGAUCCCCCAAAUGAUUCUUCUUACAUUUUGCUCCAAAUAGCUUUUAAUUAACAAUUAUUUUACUGUCUUAGUUCUCAUUUAGGUAAAACAUCAGAGCACAAAAGUAUCAUUAGUUAUUAUUGUAAAUUAAUUAUUCAACCAAAAGUGUUAAGUAUACAG